AACGAACGCUGGCGGCGUGCCUAACACAUGCAAGUCGAGCGAGAAAGGGGAGCAAUCCCUGAGUAAAGCGGCAGACGGGUGAGUAACACGUGGGUAAUCUGCCCUCGAGCGGGGAAUAACAUCUCGAAAGAGGUGCUAAUACCGCAUAACAUCCAGGGGCCUGAGGGCUUUUGGAUCAAAGGUGGGGAUCUUCGGACCUACCACUCGAGGAGGAGCCCGCGCCUGAUAGCUAGUUGGUGGGGUAAUGGCCUACCAAGGCGACGAUCAGUAGCCGGCCUGAGAGGGUGAACGGCCACACUGGAACUGAGACACGGUCCAGACUCCUACGGGAGGCAGCAGUGAGGAAUUUUGCGCAAUGGGCGAAAGCCUGACGCAGCAACGCCGCGUGGACGAUGAAGGUCUUCGGAUUGUAAACUCCUGUUGCUCGGGACGAAAGCUUCGACCUAAUACGUCGAAGUCUGACGGUACCGGGUGAGGAAG
rnacentral:rRNA from 1 species